UAACAGGUUAUCAGUAUGCUAGCAUGAUGUAUAGUCAGAUGGACUGCACAUAAUUCGUGAUGCAUGGCCAAUAAAGGUUAAAAUACCUUCCAAUGCCAAUUUGUUAAGGAAGGAAACCAUAGGUUAAAUUCAAGUUCUUAUGUUUGAUGGUGUUUAAGAAUUGAUAUAGAGUCUAAUUUCUGGAAACCUACUACUAAAUCAACAAUCCUACAAUCGAUGUCAUCUUAAAAUCAAGGAAAUAUGGGAAUUACAUAAUUUAAUAUAGGUGUUUCACUCUGACUGCCAAUCCACCACUUCCAGCACGUUUCUCUGCCACAACCAUGCUUGCCACAACAGGACAUGACUGCUUCAUGAAGCUGUUUAGUACCAUAAGACAUGAAGAUAUCUUCUGAGGAAGUGUGCCUCCUAUAACAGCAAAAACACUGUGCAUAAAAAAUAUGGUUAUUCCAAUGAUUCGUAGUAAUAUGUUCCUGUUAUCCGUGAAGUAGCAUAAUUAAAAGUAUGACCAAAGAAACAAAAAUGGAUGUAACCAGAGCUUGUCAUUCCCAUGUAACUAAACAAACUAUAUUGAAACAUAUGUGAUGCUAUACUUAAGACAAGAACACAACAAACUUAAGCAGCAAUUCUUGCCAUGGUUUCAUAAAAAUCAGUACUACAAUACUGAUGUUAUUGUUUUGGGAAAUUUAGUGCAAAAAAUGUCUGGAAGUCAUAUAUUAAAUUUGAAUUUUAAAGUUAAAAAAAUAUUUAUAUUAUGAAAUAACAGAUGAUGUAUGAAAGCCCAACAUUGACAAUUAAAAGAAAGAUGGCUAACACACA